rnacentral:rRNA from 1 species
UACGUAGGUGGCAAGCGUUAUCCGGAUUUAUUGGGCGUAAAGGGAACGCAGGCGGUCUUUUAAGUCUGAUGUGAAAGCCUUCGGCUUAACCGGAGUAGUGCAUUGGAAACUGGGGAUCUAGAGUGUGCGAGAGGUAUGCGGAAUGCGUGGUGUAGCGGUGAAAUGCAUAGAUAUCACGCAGAACCCCGAUUGCGAAGGCAGCAUACCGGUGCACAACUGACGCUCAGGCACGAAAGCGUGGGUAUCGAACAGG